GAUGAACGCUGGCGGCGUGCCUAAUACAUGCAAGUCGAACGAAACUUCUUUAUCACCGAGUGCUUGCACUCACCGAUAAAGAGUUGAGUGGCGAACGGGUGAGUAACACGUGGGCAACCUGCCCAAAAGAGGGGGAUAACACUUGGAAACAGGUGCUAAUACCGCAUAACCAUAGUUACCGCAUGGUAACUAUGUAAAAGGUGGCUAUACUACCGCUUUUGGAUGGGCCCGCGGCGCAUUAGCUAGUUGGUAGGGUAAAGGCUUACCAAGGCAAUGAUGCGUAGCCGAAUUGAGAGGUUGAUCGGCCACAUUGGGACUGAGACACGGCCCAAACUCCUACGGGAGGCAGCAGUAGGGAAUCUUCCACAAUGGGCGAAAGCCUGAUGGAGCAACGCUGCGUGGGUGAAGAAGGUCUUCGGAUCGUAAAACCCUGUUGUUAGAGAAGAAAGUGCGUGAGAGUAACUGUUCACGUUUCGACGGUAUCUAACCAGAAAGCCACUGCUAACUACGUG
rnacentral:rRNA from 1 species